GUCGGUGUUCUAUUCUCGUGUGUCCCACCUCUUCCCUUUCCGAACAGAGAAGUGAAAGCAUGAGAAUCCGAUGAUACUUACGGGUUCGCCUGUGGGGAAAGUAGGAUAUGCCGACA
rnacentral:rRNA from 1 species